rnacentral:rRNA from 1 species
UGGGGAAUAUUGGACAAUGGGCGCAAGCCUGAUCCAGCCAUGCCGCGUGAGUGACGAAGGCCUUAGGGUUGUAAAGCUCUUUUGGCGGGGAAGAUAAUGACGGUACCCGCAGAAUAAGCUCCGGCUAACUUCGUGCCAGCAGCCGCGGUAAUACGAAGGGAGCUAGCGUUGUUCGGAAUCACUGGGCGUAGAGCGCACGUAGGCGGACUUUCAAGUCAGGGGUGAAAUCCCGGGGCUCAACCUCGGAACUGCCUUUGAUACUGUUGGUCUCGAGUCCGGAAGAGGUGAGUGGAAUUCCUAGUGUAGAGGUGAAAUUCGUAGAUAUUAGGAAGAACACCGGUGGCGAAGGCGGCUCACUGGUCCGGUACUGACGCUGAGGUGCGAAAGCGUGGGGAGCAAACA